ACAGCACACUGAUUUAUUUCGAUUCCCACUCAGACCAAAACCCUAAUUUUCCCACCAAUCAAUGUUCCCGCAUGCCAUUAAUCAAAAGAAUCCUAAUCCUCAAUCACAUCUAUACACAUUCACACACUAAAAGAAGGUACAAAUUAAUAACAUUUAUAACCAAAAAAGGAUAAAACCCACCAUUGUUUGACCAGACCACAUAUCUUCCCUUGGCAUUUUCGUCAUUCCGCUCAGAAGUUGGGAAAUUGUGCAACGUCUAGAGAGGAAUACUGUGCAUCCGUCCUUUGGACUAAUUGUUGGAUUGUAAACAAUAUCAUCGCACCCGUCCGUUCGGUGGCGCUUGAAAUCAAGUAAUGUAGAGAACAUGGCGAUGAAUAGCACCA
rnacentral:misc_RNA from 1 species